rnacentral:rRNA from 1 species
UACGGAGGGUGCAAGCGUUGCUCGGAAUUAUUGGGCGUAAAGCGCACGUAGGCGGCCGACUAAGUCGGGUGUGAAAGCCCUGGGCUCAACCCAGGAAGUGCACUCGAAACUGACCGGCUUGAAUAUGGAAGAGGGUCGCGGAAUUCCCGGUGUAGAGGUGAAAUUCGUAGAUAUCGGGAGGAACACCAGUGGCGAAGGCGGCGACCUGGGCCAAUAUUGACGCUGAGGCGCGAAAGCCAGGGGAGCAAACGGG